rnacentral:rRNA from 1 species
AACGAACGCUGGCGGCAGGCUUAACACAUGCAAGCCGAGCGCCCCGCAAGGGGAGCGGCAGACGGGUGAGUAACACGUGGGAACAUACCCAUCUCUGCGGAACAACUCCGGGAAACUGGAGCUAAUACCGCCUACGCCCUUCGGGGGAAAGAUUUAUCGGAGAUGGAUUGGCCCGCGUGGGAUUAGCUAGUUGGUGGGGCAAAGGCCUACCAAGGCGACGAUCCAUAGCUGGUCUGAGAGGAUGAUCAGCCACAUUGGGACUGAGACACGGCCCAAACUCCUACGGGAGGCAGCAGUGGGGAAUAUUGGACAAUGGGCGCAAGCCUGAUCCAGCCAUGCCGCGUGAGUGAUGAAGGCCUUAGGGUUGUAAAGCUCUUUCACCGAUGAAGAUAAUGACGGUAGUCGGAGAAGAAGCCCCGGCUAACUUCGUGCCAGCCGCCGCCGUAAAAC